GCACGGCAGCUUUCAAGUCCUUCCAUAGAAAUAGUUCGGUUCUUGGGUGUUCUAACCAACACCAAAGUCUAUUCACUUUAACAAGGGAUCAACAAGUGAGGAUUUGUGGGUCACUUUUAUUUUUAACGGACCGGUGCCAGAAACACUGCCUCAGCAUUUAUACGUAUGUGCAUUUCAAACGAGGGUGCGUACAAUGCUGGAUUUGUUUCACGGCUCCUGUUGGAAAAAAAAGGACCUAUUCCUAAAGUCCGUCAUCCACUCACUGAAGAGGGCAAAUCCCAGUUGCCCACAUGCAAGGAGGCUGUCAAACAGAGAAAUCACUGCAGACUGUUGGUACACAGACAUCUGCUGCCCAGCUCAGGAGUGAAGUACCUUUUGUUUUGAUGAGGUGAUGGUGAGGACAGCCACAGCUUCCAUCUGGUAGAGGACUGCUUCCGCUCAGUCUUUCAAAUAGUGAUGAGAACAAGGAUCACCACAUCUCCCUGUUUACCCUACUUUCAUGCAUUUCGUCUGCAAGGCCCUGCAAAAGCUUCUCCUUCGUCCUCAAACCCCCAGACUUCUUAAUUAACUCAGUAACCUAUACAUUGCACAUUGGAGUGUGAAGGUAACAGUUUGUUCUAACUUUGGAGUAGUGGUGUAUUUUUUUGGUUUACAAUAAAGUUGGCUUUAACUAUUA